rnacentral:rRNA from 1 species
UACGUAGGGUGCAAGCGUUGUCCGGAAUUAUUUGGGCGUAAAGGAGCUACGUAGGCGGUUUGCGGCGUCUGCUAGUGAAAACCCGAGGCUCAACCUCGGGCCUGACAGUGGGUACGGGCAGACUAGAGUGGCGGGUAGGGGGAGAUUGGAAUUCCUGGUGUAAGCGGUGGAAUGCGCAGAUAUCAGGAGGAACACCAAUGGCGAAGGCAGAUCUCUGGGCCGUAACUGACGCUGAGGAGCGAAAGCAUGGGGAGCGAACAGG